rnacentral:rRNA from 1 species
GGUUAGUCGAUCCUAAGAGAUGGGGAAGCUCCGUUUCAAAGUACUUGAUUUUUCAAGUCACCAUCGAAAGGGAAUCCGGUUAAAAUUCCGGAACCUAGAUAUGGAUUCUUCACGGUAACGUAACUGAAUGUGGAGACGUCGGCGUGAGCCCUGGGAGGAGUUCUCUUUUCUUCUUAACAGCUUAUCACCCUGGAAUUGGUUUAUCCGGAGAUAGGGUCUUAUGGCUGGAAGAGCGCAAUACUUUUGUUGCGUCCGGUGCGCUUACGACGGUCCUUGAAAAUCCACAGGAAGGAAUAGUUUUCAUGCUAGGUCGUACUCAUAACCGCAGCAGGUCUCCAAGGUGAACAGCCUCUAGUUGAUAGAAUAAUGUAGAUAAGGGAAGUCGGCAACAUAGAUCCGUAACCUCGGGAAAA